rnacentral:tRNA from 5 species
GCCGCUGUAGCUCAGCUGGUAGAGCGGCGCUUUCGUAAAGCGUAGGCCACCGGUUCAAAUCCGGUCAGCGGCUCCA